AAAUUUCCACACACAGAAAGUUUAUGUAUAACAGGUGUGGAUUUGGUUCAGUAUAAUUCGGUCUUAAUGUAAAAAUCCUCGAACAACGAUUCUCUAUUUUUUUGCUUCCUUUGCUUAUUCAACUUUUUGAUCGACUCAUUCUUUGGUUCUAUUUUCUAAUUUCUGCUCUUCCCAAAUAAUGUUCAAGUUGUGUUCUUUCACGUGUUUAUUGUUAAAACAAGGUGAGAUUUCAUUUGGAUUUUGUUUAGGAUAAUCAAGAAUGCAGGGUCGAAGGACUAGAACACGAUACCGUUGCUCUUUGUUCUGGAUUCUUCAUGCACUCAUUAAAUCCAAUGAAAUAUAUAUAUAAUCAAGCUCUUCCUAUUUUCGAUACCA